AGCUGGUUCGAAGAUAGUGUUAUCUCAAUUAAUUGUUCACAGUCAGUUACAGAUCAAACUCCUUGUUCUACUCUUUCCCCCUUUCUCACUACUGCACUCGACUAGUCUAGA
ensembl:misc_RNA Y_RNA Y RNA